rnacentral:tRNA from 2 species
GGAGAGGUGGCUGAGUGGUCGAAAGCGGCGGUCUCGAAAACCGUUGUCCGGCUUGCCGGAUCGUGGGUUCGAAUCCCACCCUCUCCG